UCCACAAGUUGUUGUUUCAUACAACGUUUGAAUAUUUUUAUUGAGAAAAAACGUUCAAUAGUCUGCAAAAAAAAAAAAAUGAGACACACAAAUAUGAAUUGUGUUAAUUUGCACUCAAUCAUGAUAUAUCAUGAAGGAAGAUGGGAUGCCUCAGGUAGACCUAAAGAUUUUUCUAUAGAUGAAAUUAUGUAUGAUGCAAAUACCAAGUGUAAAGAAUUGCUAAAUGCAAUAG